CUGGAGGUAUCAGAAGUGCGAAUGCUGACAUAAGUAACGAUAAAGCGGGUGAAAAGCCCGCUCGCCGGAAGACCAAGGGUUCCUGUCCAACGUUAAUCGGGGCAGGGUGAGUCGACCCCUAAGGCGAGGCCGAAAGGCGUAGUCGAUGGGAAACAGGUUAAUAUUCCUGUACUUGGUGUUACUGCGAAGGGGGGACGGAGAAGGCUAUGUUGGCCGGGCGACGGUUGUCCCGGUUUAAGCGUGUAGGUGUGUGUUCCAGGUAAAUCCGGUUCACUUUAACACUGAGGCGUGAUGACGAGGCACUACGGUGCUGAAGCAACAAAUGCCCUGCUUCCAGGAAAAGCCUCUAAGCAUCAGGUAACAUCAAAUCGUACCCCAAACCGACACAGGUGGUCAGGUAGAGAAUACCAAGGCGCUUGAGAGAACUCGGGUGAAGGAACUAGGCAAAAUGGUGCCGUAACU
rnacentral:rRNA from 1 species